rnacentral:rRNA from 1 species
UACGAAGGGGGCUAGCGUUGUUCGGAAUUACUGGGCGUAAAGCGCACGUAGGCGGCUUUGUAAGUUAGAGGUGAAAGCCUGGAGCUCAACUCCAGAACUGCCUUUAAGACUGCAUCGCUUGAAUCCAGGAGAGGUGAGUGGAAUUCCGAAGUGUAGAGGUGAAAUUCGUAGAUAUUCGGAAGAACACCAGUGGCGAAGGCGGCUCACUGGACUGGUAUUGACGCUGAGGUGGCGAAAAGCGUGGGGAGCAAACAGG